ACUCUUGUGGAUGCUGUUCUUACUCCUCCCGCCGUCUGAGUCCCAGAGUGCGGCCCUGCCCUCCUCACUCCCAGUAGUCCUGGGAGCAGACAAACCCUGGACAAGGCAAGCCCAGGAGCAGGAGCCUGUCUGCCCGAGAGCCAGCAAGGCCCCCUGACUUCAUCCUGGUGCUUUGUGAGUGUCUGCCGGCAAAUCCUGGGUGAUGGAGAGUGAUCCUGCUCCUUAUGGAGAGCAAAGACUCUAAAGCAGCACUGUCCAGGAGCAAGAUCCUGAGCUCCAUCAUGGUCUACUGCCUGGCAACUUCAACCGUAUCCCUGAUUCUCUCCUUGCUGGCCAGCUUUGCCCCAGUGGCUCCCCUCCUGCAAAUAGGGCAAAAGGCAUGGAGAUGAGACCAGAGUGUCCGGCUCUGGGGGUUUGAUGGACCGAGACAGACAAGUGAGCGUACAAGCAAACAUUUUGAAAACGAGCGCAUGAGUCAAUGGUCAGGACUGGUGCACGUUGAUUGGGGUGGAUGUAACUGAAGGGUCACUAGUAGGAUUUCCACAGCCAGCUGGCCCAGGGCCUCUCUGGUCACCCUGGGAAAGCCUUACUUUUUGAAAGGUUCCAGUCCUCUCUCAGUGAAAACACACGGGUGUGACAACACCCACGGUUCCCUGACCUCCACAGACUGAGGUCUGAGCCCAUUGAAAUCAGGUGUCUGAAGUCACGCAGAAUGGCUUUCGGUGGUGCUGUGAGCCGACCGUUUCAGGGUACUCCUUCCUCCGAUUUCACAGAUGUGUCGGUUGGAUUUUAUUCUUAAGUGGCCUAAGCCAAAAGCAUCUUCUCCCAGAAACAGCAGGUUCAUUUCAAUUCAAUAUUUCACUUUGGACAACUGCUUGCCUUCAUUUAGCGCCGCAUGCUGGGACUUGGUCUCCCCGGGCGUUCUGGCUUCCCUCCCGUUAGCGACGGUGGCAGCAGUGCAGACAGAUUGAGGCCCCAGGAAGGCGGACCCCCCAACUGCGCGGCAGCAGUGAGCUGGGAG